AAAGUUGAAUUGCUCAGACAGCCAGGAUGUUGGCUUAGAAGCAGCCACCAUUUAAAAAGUGCGUAACAGCUUACUGGUCGAGCAGUUCUGCGUCGAUAAUGAACGGGAGUAAAGCAUUAUACCGAAGCCGCGGGCUCAGUAAUGAGCGGUAGGAGAGCGCUGUAUGGCAGAUACAAGCAGUACCGAAAGGAGCUGUGCUGGGCCAUACAGGUGAUUAUGCCGGAAUGAGUAGACGAUAAAGCAGGUGAGAAUCCUGCUCGCCGAAAGCCUAAGGUUUCCUGGGGAAGGUAAUUCCGCCCAGGGUUAGCCGGUACCUUAGUCGAGGCCGAAAGGCGUAGACGAUGGAUAGCAGGUUAAUAUUCCUGCGCCAUGUAUGUGGAGCGAUGGAGGGACGGCAUCCGAAAGACAUGCGGACGACUAGAAAUGUCCGUUGCUUCGGACCAAGAAUGGAGGUUGGGAAAUCCGCCUCAAUAGGUUCAAGGUCCGGAGCUAACAGCGUUUAAGAUCUGGAUGAUGUUGGAAGGAUGUCCUAGAAAAGCUUCUAAGCUUUGAAGCAUACGUGACCGUACUAAAACUGACACAGGUAGGUGAGAUGAGUAAUCUAAGGCGCUCGGGAGAACGGUGUUUAAGGAACUCUGCAAAAUGGCCCCGUACGUUCGCAAUAAGGGGCGCCCACGCAAGUGGGCCACAGAAAAUCGGCACUAGCGACUGUUUAUCAAAAACACAGGACUCUGCGAACUCGUAAGAGGAUGUAUAGAGUCUGACGCCUGCCCGGUGCUGGUAGGUUAAGGAAGAGGGUUAGCGAAAGCGAAGCUCGCGACCGAAGCCCCAGUAAACGGCGGCCCUAACUAUGAGGGUCCUAAGGUAGCGAAGUUCCUUGUCGGGUAAGUUCCGACCUGCAUGAAAGGCGUAACGACUGGUGCACUGUCUCAAACACCGACCCGGUGAAAUUGUAGUCGUGGUGAAGAUGCCACGUACCCGCGGUUAGACGGAAAGACCCCAUGAACCUUUACUGUAGGCUGAUAUUGGGUUGAGAUAUGUUCUGUGCAGAAUAGCUGGGAGGCUGUGAAUCGGGUGCGCAAGCACUCGAGGAGCCAUCGUUGAGAUACCAGCCUGGAUAUAUUUUAAUUCUAACCCCAUGCUAUGAAUCUAGGUGGGGGACAUUGUCAGUUGGGCAGUUUGACUGGGGCGGUCUCCUCCCAAAGAGUAACGGAGGAGCUCAAAGGUGCCCUCAGCCUGGUCGGCAAUCAGGCAACGAGCGUAAAGGUAGAAGGGCGCUUAACUGCGAGUCAUUUAAGACGAGCAGAUACGAAAGUAGGACUUAGUGAUCCGGUGAUUCCGAAUGGAAGGGUCAUCGCUCAUCAGAUAAAAGGUACUCUGGGGAUAACAGGCUUAUCGCCACCGAGCGUCCACAGCGGCGUGGCGGUUUGGCACCUCGAUGUCGGCUCAUCACAUCCUGGGGGUGAAGAAGCUCCCAAGGGUUUGGCUGUUCGCCAAUGAAAGUGGUACGUGAGCUGGGUUCAGACCGUCGUGAGACAGGUCGGUCCCUAUCUGCCGUGGGCGUUCGAAACUUGAGGAGGUUCAACUUUAGUACGAGAGGAUUUGGUUGGACACAGCUCUGGUGUACCAGUUGUCGCGCUAGCGGCACGGCUGGAUAGCUAACUGUGGAAAGGAUAAACGCUGAAAGCAUCUAAGCGUGAAGCCCUCUCCAAGAUCAGGUUUCGUAAGUGUUUUACACGAAAGUCCCCUGGUAGACUACCAGGUUGAUAGGCCACAUGUGUAAGCUGGGUAACCAGUUCAGCUAAGUGGUACUAACGGACGAAAGCUUGACCAC
rnacentral:rRNA from 1 species